rnacentral:lncRNA from 1 species
GUACAACGAGAGGGUUAAGCAUGAGAAUUAAAGAACAUAAAGAAGAUAUUAGGACAGGGAAACUUAGCACAGCGUUGACUAUAAAAACAUACGAAAGUGAUGUAGAUAUAAAGUGGAACGAUGCAAAGAUUAUAAAGCCAUUACAAGAUGUUAAAAGAAUCGCUACUGUAGAGAGUAUCCAGAUUGAGAAAAGGAAACAGGCAUGUGACGUCAUUAACGCUAAUAAGCCACUAAUAUUACCGAUGUCAUGGAAAUGGCACGCUACAUAUGCAAUGUAGACAUAUGGAGGAAAUGUUACUUGUUCGUUGAUUAUUUUAUUUUAUUUUAUUUAGUGUGUUUUAUUCU